AUGUUCGCCCCAUCCUGGACCACGCAAACCUCUCCACAGACUGCGUACGCCCGGUGCGUAGGGUCUACAGCGAACUUGGAAACCUGUAGUCGGAACGCUAUUGCCAUGUGGGACGCCUCCUGGUCGUGUGAUGAGGAGAUGGGGGUGGGGAAUGGGCGGGCCGAUGGGGGCAUGGGCAUCGUCCCCUUCUAUAUCAGGCGCAGACCCAUCGACCCGUCUCUAACAAAGGCAUUUCUCCCACAGAAGAGCCAGAGACUACUCCCCUUCUUCUUGCUUUGCUUGCCCCAUCUCUACCGCAAGUGUUCCUGCAGCCAUUGCUUUGAUCCGACCUCGGAGGCCGCACUGAUGGCUGAAGGGAGUGCCUGUUUCGAUUGGGACGUGGCGGCCGGGAACCAGUACACGAGCUCCGGGCAUGGUGGUGUUUCACAACACUUCGCCCAUAAUGAUGGUAGUGCUCCAGCCAGGGUGGUUGUCUUCCCGGGCGCCAGAUCAAGAGCUUCUGGUGGCAUCAACAUGAUGGAUCCCACCAGGUUCUCCGGCAACGGGAUCAGCGACGCCCCUACGGCAAUCGUGGCACCUGCUCGGGUCCCGCCGCGUGCCAGAUCCAAGGGCCAGCGGCUGACACAGUUCAAAGGGUCGUGGACCGUGGAGGAAGAUACGCUGCUCAGGGCGAAGGUGCAAGAGUUCGGCAUAGGGAGGUGGACGAAGGUUGCGAUGUACCUCCCCGGACGGAGCGGGAAGCAGUGCCGGGAGAGAUGGAUCAACCAACUUGACCCCAACAUUGAGAGAAAAAUCUGGACCGACUCAGAAGACAUGAAGCUGAUCGAGUUGCAUCAGACCUGGGGGAACCGUUGGUCGGUGAUCGCCCGGCUACUCUCUGGACGGCCAGAGAACGCCGUCAAGAACCACUAUCAUGCCACCAAGCGCAGUCUGAAUGCAAAGCGCCAGCUCAAGAAGAGGAACAACAAGCAACCACCUCCUGGCCAGCUCUCCCUUCUUGCGGAGUACAUCCAUAGCCUGGAGCCACACACUGGAUCACCCAUGGAGACACCUCCAGUGUCCCCACUGUUGUAUCAUGACCAAGAGCAUGGUGGGCAGAUGGGGAUGGCCGGUAGAGACGUCGCCGUCGUCAUCACCCCUACUACACAGGCGCACCCGACCUACCCCAAUUCGGCCAUGACUGGUAUGUCCUACCACCCAAACCCGGCCAACAUGCAGUACUGGGCGCCGGAUUUGAAUGUUGCUGACAGGCAGAACGAGGGGUACUCGUACUACAUCCCUCCCAAUGCGCACCUGAACCACCACCUGUGCUAUGGUUUGUCACCGACGCAGAUGGUUAGUGAGCAAGACAUGCAGCAGGCGGCCAAAGCGAGCAUGAACAUGUCUGCGUUCACUGGACAACAUACCCUCCCGGCGAGCAACCUCAAGGCGGUGGCAGAGAUGCACCGUGAGUCCUCCUCCAACAACCAACUGGGCAACGUGAGUGGUGGAGCUAGCGAUUGGUCCUACUACUAUGGCAUGGACGAGGUUGGUCCGAGCGGCCCUGCUGGAGGUACCGGUAGCGGUAGCAACCCUGAUGACAUCGACGUGGUGCAGAUGGCCCCAAGGGAGUGUUCCGCGUAG
rnacentral:rRNA from 1 species